CGGGCGCAGGAGGUCCGGGGCGGGCGAAGAGAGGGCAGAGGGCAGCGGGCGCCCGGGGCAUCUCCCUCUCGCCGGGUGCGGGGAACAACUUGGGCUUUGCUACCAGUGCCCGAGGGGGCACCAGAGGCCACAAUCAAGACUGAGGCUCUGCUGUGCUAGGUGGUGUACAAACCCACAUGAAGACAGUGUCACUGUCCCAAAGAGCUUGCAAUCUAGGACCGAGAAUUUGGCUAUAGCCUCUCCUGUAACGGAGUGAAGUGAGAAACUGGACAGAUGCCUGUGCCGCCACCACCACCACCUCCUCCCCCUCCACCACCCCCACCACCAGGACCACCUGCUUCUGGAGGGCCACUUCUGGCAAGUACAGAACCACCAAAACCGAGAAAGGAAGACCAAAAAGCUCGAAGUGCAUUGCUUGCUGAUAUUCAGCACGGGACUCGCUUAAGGAAAGUAGCACAAAUCAAUGACAGAAGUGCACCACAAAUUGAAAAAUCCAAAGGGCCAAACAGAGAUGGAAAUAGCUCAGCAAAUACCAGAAGUGCCCAGCCAUUGUUGGGUGGUCUCUUUGCUGGUGGCUUUCCUGUUCUGAGACCAGCAGGCCAAAGAGACAUGACAGCUGGCAAGGCUGGACAGCUACCUGGAGCGCAAGCACCUCUUCCCAGGCCACUGUCUCCAAUGAACAAUAACAUAAAGACAUGCAGUAACUUUUCAAAUCCACCUGAUGGUGCAAAAGCAGCAAGCCCAUGGGAGCCAGCCAGCGCUCCACGGGCAGGACCAACUCGGCCCAGCCUGCCUACCCCUCCGCUGCCACCACCUCCCUCCAGCAAACCUUCCCUCACUUUCCCAUCUCCUCCAUCUCACCCUCCACCUACAGACAGGCCUGCAAAAUGGACACCCCAGAAUGUUGUUUCACCUCCCCCACCUCAGUGUGACAAGCCUGCUAAAUUUCAAGCAUCGGCUUUCCAUCCUCCCCCUCCACCGCCUCCUCUGCCCCUAACACCACCCUAUGGACUUCCAGUCAGAAAUGAUCUAUCUAGCUCUUCUCCUUCCCCUCAGCCUGAAAUAAGGGACUAUCUGCAUCCCACUCCACCCCCACCUCCGCCUCCACUGCUUCCUACCUAUACUUCCUCCUCAACCAAGCCAUCCUUGCCACUGCUGCCCUCACCUGCCCCCUCCAGGGAUAUAAACAGCAGUGAUGUGCCACCUCCACUGCCACCCAAGUCUCCAUACUUGCUGUCCCAGUUUCAAAAGCCAAAUAUUCAGUCCAUGCCUCUCCCUCCCACCCCGCCCUUCCCUCAGCCACCUGCAGCAGUGCAGAAGAGGAGGCCAGGCAGAGUUGCAGUGUCUGGCGCUGGGAAGUUACCUCUACCUCCGCAGCCUCCAGCAAGAUCACCAACAACUGAACUUACAAGCAAGUCUCCAUAUGCCCAGGCUGGACCCUGGCCAGCACGUGAACCCUCUCCACAGCUUAGAAAUGGAAACAUGCCCGUCGUUGAUGAUUUUGAAUCUAAAUUUACUUUUCAUUCUGUGGAAGACUUCCCCCCUCCUGAUGAAUUCAAGCCAUUUCAGAGAAUAUAUCCCAGCAAGGAGCCUAGGGAUGCCCCUAAAAAUCCUCUGCUAAGAACACAUGCUGUAAACUGACCAUCUCAUUUGACCCUGGAUCAAAACAGGAGUGGCAGUCACGUUGCCUUUCCAAGCUGCCUUGCUGCUCCUUUGCCAGUAGGUGGCCAGCAAAAGCACACAACCUGGCAGCUGUAUAGUGGAGGAAUAUCAGAACUGAGAUCUGCACACUCAUACCUGUUCUGCGCAUGCAGGUACUUCUGAAUGAAUUGCUCUUGUAUAAAACAAAUGUGCAGAAGCACAUGACAGAAAAGUAACAUUUAAGUUGAAGUCAACAUGAACAUUGUUCUUUUAACAGCAAUAGAAAAAGUCUAAUGCUAUAGUAAUCGUGUUUGGCAACAGUAUUAUCACUAUUUUACAUUGUAAUGUUAGUAUGAUUUAUUGCCUAUUAUCUGUAUGUAACCUGUAUACAGCCAUGUCAUAAUUUUUAUAAGGAUUUUUUUUUUUUUAUUUAUUAAAAGUGUCUUGGCAGAAUUUGACAACAUUAAAUAGAGAUGCUUUACUGCUGUCUCAUUAAAUAGUGAGAGUGUUUGUCAAAAGCAAAACAGUGUUUAAAGGUUAAUUUGAGAUGGAUUAAGUGACAGAUGUUUCUAUAUCAAGGGUGAUUAGUACUUCUGCAAUCUUAGGUACUUACUUUAAAAGAAAGCAAGACUCCACAAACACCUCCCCUUACCCUCAUUACACAUGCUUAAUGCCCCUGUUUCCACACCUGGUUUUACAAAGCUAUACUACUUCCAAUCAUUUCUGCUGACUUCUUAAUAGUCAAGGUCCAUGGUUGUUAAAGUGAGUUGUGGAAGUUGCCUGCCAUCUACCUACAAGUUCAAAGGUGAAUGACAGAAGUUUUUAAAGUCAUGAACAGCCCACAAUUUUGCUCCAUCAAAACCAAAACUUGUUUAACCAUUUGAACUGCCUGAGUCCCUGAUUAUUUGAGUCCUUAGGAUCUCUGCAGGUUUCCUUCUCAAUGUCCAGCCUCAAUUAGCUUCACAGUGGUUACUGCAUGCCCCCUCUGUGAUAGCACAGAGGGAAGGGAACUCAGCACCUAUUCUUUUAUGUACUGUACAUUGAAACAAGAGCAUGGGUUUAAACCCCCUCAUCUGUGGUGGCAUACUGUUUGCAUAAGCAGUAAUUUAUUGCCUGGGCCACUAAAAUGAAUCUAUUUGUUGAAUCUAACAAACAGCGGGUCUCAAAUGCAGAGAAUCUUUUAAAGUGACUGCAGAUGCAUUCGAUCCCACAAGAAAGAUACAAACAAAAUUGGCUGUUUCUGUGCAGUCUGAAGUACUAUGUACAUCUUGAUGUGUCUAGAUGAGGGCAGAACUGACUUGCUGCAUGAAAUGGUAUGUAGCAGCCAAAGGACAGGGUACAAAACAGGACUCCCUCUCUGCUUAGAGGGAGAAUGAAUUGCAGAGAAGGCAGAAUGAAAACAAAGUGAAUGUGAAGUGAAGCAUUGAGCAGCAACUGUGACAUUUCAUUUUAUUAAGUGGAAGAAUUCCCUUCAGUUAGGAACAAUGUGAAAUUCCUGAUCCUGCAACUAAAUUGUGCAAGGACUACAUCAUACCCUACUGAAGUCAGUGGAGCUCUGUGUGAGAACAAAAGUCUGCAUAAACAGAAUAGUUACACUUAAUAAAUAGAUUCACUUACUUGGAAGAGAAGUUUAAAUAUGAGUGUACAAGCCUGCCCAUCCAAUAGCUGUCAUUACAGUUUGUAUUUUCUUUUCUCAGUAAAACACAAGUUUGAGAACCAAUAUAGACUAUAAAAAAUGGUUGAGGCAUUGCUAGCAAGCCUAACCUCUGACAGCAUGUGCUGAUAAAGCUCUUAUACUUUGGCUUCCAUGUCAAAUUCUGAAACAAGACAGACUGUGGCCUGAAGUUUGCUUCUAUUAUACUUACUUUUCCUUAGCAUUACUAAACAGCGCAUCUUAUAACACUGCUGCAGACAUCAUCAACAAUUUAAAAGGACUAUGAGGUAGAUGUUCUACUAGAUUUUUCUUGUUUUUGUUGUGUUUAUUUGAAUGGGGACAGUGCUCAGCAUUAGAAAAUAAAAGCUUCAUUUCCUUAAAAGCAAAUUUUAGAUGUCUCAUGCAGCAUAAAAAGGUACAAGAGUGACAACAGCACACACUGCAUUGACAUCAGUGCUCACCUCUGACCAAAUUAGGGAUAACGGAGAUGUGCCACACUGUCCAGUAGUUACACAUGCUUAGUAUCAGCUGCAAAACCAAAGUAUGAAAAAAAAAUAUAUAUAAACUUCUAGAAAAGUUUGCCAUCGUCUGGUUUCUGCUGCUAGUUAGUAGAGGUGCACUGAUAUACCGGUCCAUAUCAGAUUGGCACCAAUAAAAGGAAAAUUGACAUUAUCAGCAAUCAACUUUGUUUGGCC